rnacentral:rRNA from 1 species
GACGAACGCUGGCGGCGUGCUUAACACAUGCAAGUCGAACGGAAAGGCCCUGCUUUUGUGGGGUGCUCGAGUGGCGAACGGGUGAGUAACACGUGAGUAACCUGCCCUUGACUUUGGGAUAACUUCAGGAAACUGGGGCUAAUACCGGAUAGGAGCUCCUGCUGCAUGGUGGGGGUUGGAAAGUUUCGGCGGUUGGGGAUGGACUCGCGGCUUAUCAGCUUGUUGGUGGGGUAGUGGCUUACCAAGGCUUUGACGGGUAGCCGGCCUGAGAGGGUGACCGGCCACAUUGGGCCUGAGCUACGGCCCAGACUCCUACGGGAGGCAGCAGUGGGGAAUAUUGCACAAUGGGCGGAAGCCUGAUGCAGCAACGCCGCGUGCGGUAUGACGGCCUUCGGGUUGUAAACCGCUUUCGCCUGUGACGAAGCGUGAGUGACGGUAAUGGGUAAAGAAGCACCGGCUAACUACGUG